GACGAACGCUGGCGGCGUGCUUAACACAUGCAAGUCGAACGGAAAGGCCCUGCUUUUGUGGGGUGCUCGAGUGGCGAACGGGUGAGUAACACGUGAGUAACCCGCCCCUGACUUUGGGAUAACUUCAGGAAACUGGGGCUAAUACCGGAUAGGAGCUCCUGCUGCAUGGUGGGGGUUGGAAAGUUUCGGCGGUUGGGGAUGGACUCGCGGCUUAUCAGCUUGUUGGUGGGGUAGUGGCUUACCAAGGCUUUGACGGGUAGCCGGCCUGAGAGGGUGACCGGCCACAUUGGGACUGAGAUACGGCCCAGACUCCUACGGGAGGCAGCAGUGGGGAAUAUUGCACAAUGGGCGGAAGCCUGAUGCAGCAACGCCGCGUGCGGGAUGACGGCCUUCGGGUUGUAAACCGCUUUCGCCUGUGACGAAGCGUGAGUGACGGUAAUGGGUAAAGAAGCACCGGCUAACUACGUG
rnacentral:rRNA from 1 species